rnacentral:rRNA from 1 species
GACAGAGGUGCCGAGCGUUAGGCGGAAUCACUGGGCUUAAAGCGUGUGUAGGCGGGUCGUUAAGUGUCUUGUGAAAUCCCAUGGCUUAACCAUGGAACUGCUUGGCAUACUGGCGAUCUUGGGCCAGCUAGGGGUUACCGGAACAAACGGUGGAGCGGUGAAAUGCGUAGAUAUCGUGAGGAACACCAGAGGCGAAGGCGGUUACCUGGACAGUUACUGACGCUCAGGCACGAAAGCAUGGGGAGCAAAAGGG